AAACAUAAGGGGUAACACUGUUGUUUUUUAUUGGUUGUCAUGAAAAAAAAACAUAAGGGGUAACACUGUUGUUUUUUAUUGGUUGUCAUGAAAAAAAAACAUAAGGGGUAACACUGUUGUUUUUUAUUGGUUGUCAUGAAAAAAAACAUAAGGGGUAACACUGUUGUUUUUUAUUGGUCGUCAUGAAAAAAAACAUAAGGGGUAACACUGUUGUUUUUUAUUGGUCGUCAUGAAAAAAAACAUAAGGGGUAACACUGUUGUUUUUUAUUGGUCGUCAUGAAAAAAAACAUAAGGGGUAACACUGUUGUUUUUUAUUGGUUGUCAUGAAAAAAAACAUAAGGGGUAACACUGUUGUUUUUUAUUGGUCGUCAUGAAAAAAAACAUAAGGGGUAACACUGUUGUUUUUUAUUGGUCGUCAUGAAAAAAAACAUAAGGGGUAACACUGUUGUCUUU
ensembl:lncRNA